CCCAAACACCCUACAACAGGAAUUAUUGCCAUCACACUGGCAUUUCUCAUAUGUCAUGAAGUUCACAUAGCUGGUUUUAAAUACAACUUUUCUGACCUCAAGAGUCCUUUGCACUACUAUGGGAAUGCCACCAUGUCUUUGAUGAAUAAGAAUGAAUAUCAUAAUGUGACUGCAGAGCAGUUCUUUUUGAAGGACAUUAUAGAAAAAAACUUUGUAAUCAACCUGACUCAAGAGUGACCCUACAGACUCAGAAGAUGAUGCUUACACUUCUGCUUUUCUUCUCUGGUCCUUUCCUCCAAAGAAGUUUCAAGUGUCACAUACCCUUAAUUGCACAGACAUAAUUUCCCCCACCAUCCCAGGAUAAGUCAGUGCUGUCAGUAAUGGUGACAAGUGGCAGAGAGAGGAGAACUUGCUUCUCCAGGCCUGGAAAGCACCACAACUCUCUGGGGAAGUGAGAGCCAUCUGUGCAACAAAGAAGAUUCUUCCCAGCCCACCCCUCAGAAUUCUGACUUGUCUUCCCCAGGAGGAAUCUCCCUCCCCUCUGUUAAGAAUGAACUGUUUACCAACAGCCUUCUACAAAGAAAAACCAAGCAAAUGAAAUGACAUUUUCUGAUUUAAGAGUGUAAAUCCAACUCAAUUAAAAUUAGUGCUUGGCAAACUAAAGAGAAAGAAGAACCUAUUGUUUAAAAAUGAGGAAAAGAUGAUUAUGUGAUAUGCUGAAGAUCACAAACAUGGCUUUGAUAAGGAGCCCAUGAUUUUCCUACUAGAAAACAUUCUUCUACAAGUACAAAGCCAUGUUUUUAUUACUGAUAUUAAAAGCUCCCUCAUUUUAAAGGCUGACUGUAUUUAUAUUAUUUUGUUAUUUUAAAGUAAAAUAAAUGUAAAAUUUGU